AGAGUUUGAUCAUGGCUCAGAUUGAACGCUGGCGGCAGGCUUCACACAUGCAAGUCGAACGGUAACAGGGAGGAAGCUUGCUUUCUUUGCUGACGAGUGGCGGACGGGUGAGUAAUGCUUGGGAAUCUGGCUUAUGGAGGGGGAUAACUACGGGAAACUGUAGCUAAUACCGCGUAAUAUCUUCGGAUUAAAGGGUGGGACUUUCGGGCCACCUGCCAUAAGAUGAGCCCAAGUGGGAUUAGGUAGUUGGUGGGGUAAAGGCCUACCAAGCCGACGAUCUCUAGCUGGUCUGAGAGGAUGACCAGCCACACUGGAACUGAGACACGGUCCAGACUCCUACGGGAGGCAGCAGUGGGGAAUAUUGCACAAUGGGGGGAACCCUGAUGCAGCCAUGCCGCGUGAAUGAAGAAGGCCUUCGGGUUGUAAAGUUCUUUCGGUGAUGAGGAAGGUGUUUGUUUUAAUAGAACAAGCAAUUGACGUUAGUCACAGAAGAAGCACCGGCUAACUCCGUGCCAGCAGCCGCGGUAAUACGGAGGGUGCGAGCGUUAAUCGGAAUGACUGGGCGUAAAGGGCACGCAGGCGGUGACUUAAGUGAGGUGUGAAAGCCCCGGGCUUAACCUGGGAAUUGCAUUUCAUACUGGGUCGCUAGAGUAUUUUAGGGAGGGGUAGAAUUCCACGUGUAGCGGUGAAAUGCGUAGAGAUGUGGAGGAAUACCGAAGGCGAAGGCAGCCCCUUGGGAAUAUACUGACGCUCAUGUGCGAAAGCGUGGGGAGCAAACAGGAUUAGAUACCCUGGUAGUCCACGCUGUAAACGCUGUCGAUUUGGGGAUUGGGCUUAGAGCUUGGUGCCCGUAGCU
rnacentral:rRNA from 1 species